UGUGUAAAGGUGGAGAGAUCAGUCAGAAAAGGCCAUAGAAUAACUAGCAGUAAAGUACCCUGGAGAAGGGAAAUAAAAGGGAUAGCAGGGAUGUGUAAAGGUGGGGAGAUCAGUCAGAAAAGGCCAUAGAAUAACUAGCAGUAAAGUACCCUGGAGAAGAGAAAUAAAAGGGAUAGCAGGAAUGUGUAAAGGUGGGGAGAUCAGUCAGAAAAGGCCAUAGAAUAACUAGCAGUAAAGUACCCUGGAGAAGAGAAAUAAAAGGGAUAGCAGGAAUGUGUAAAGUACCCUGGAGAAGAGAAAUAAAAGGGAUAGCAGGAAUGUGUAAAGGUGGGGAGAUCAGUCAGAAAAGGCCAUAGAAUAAUUAGCAGUAAAGUACCCUGGAGAAGAGAAAUAAAAGGGAUAGCAGGAAUGUGUAAAGGUGGGGAGAUCAGUCAGAAAAGGCCAUAGAAUAACUAGCAGUAAAGUACCCUGGAGAAGGGAAAUAAAAGGGAUAGCAGGAAUGUGUAAAGGUGGGGAGAUCAGUCAG